UGCCCGCUCGUCUAAUGGCAGGACGACUGGUUCUGGCCCAGUUAAUCGAGGUUCGAAUCCUUGGCGGGCAGCCA
rnacentral:tRNA from 6 species